rnacentral:rRNA from 1 species
AACGAACGCUGGCGGCAUGCCUAACACAUGCAAGUCGAACGAGACCUUCGGGUCUAGUGGCGCACGGGUGCGUAACGCGUGGGAAUCUGCCCUUAGGUUCGGAAUAACUCAGGGAAACUUGAGCUAAUACCGGAUAAUGACGUAAGUCCAAAGAUUUAUCGCCUAGGGAUGAGCCCGCGUAGGAUUAGCUUGUUGGUGGGGUAAAAGCCUACCAAGGCGACGAUCCUUAGCUGGUCGAGAGGAUGAUCAGCCACACUGGGACUGAGACACGGCCCAGACUCCUACGGGAGGCAGCAGUGGGGGAAUAUUGGACAAUGGGCGAAAGCCUGAUCCAGCAAUGCCGCGUGAG